GGGAAUGUGGCUUAGUGGUAGAGUGCUUGCCUCACAUGCAUGAAGCCCUGGGUUCGAUUCCUAGUACCA
rnacentral:tRNA from 1 species